UCACACGGCCAAACAUGUGGAAAACGGGGCAACACAAACUUAUCUCCUUGCAGGCCUCCCUCAAAAAGAAUAUCUCACUGCAGCCGCCACCACAAAUCCUCCAUCGAUCUCACCUGAUCCACCGCCGCCGCCAGAAAUCCUCCAUCGUUCUCACCUGAUUUCCCUGCGCCGCCGUUGUCUUGGCACCGCAUCCAGGUUUCCCCACUUGAUCCUUGGGUAUGAGGUUUCCCUCCCACGGCAUGUAGAUCACGGCUGGACAAGAAACUGUUACGGUAUGUCCACCGCCGGCACCAUCGCGCUCUCCUUGGAAGCCCCGCUCCCCGCGCUCCAUUUUGGUAGUCACCGCAGGGAACGACUACAAAACAAAGACGCACAAGGUGUCGGAGAUGCGGUGGGGAUGGGGAAGGUCAUUCGGUGCUGCGCCGGGAGGCAGCAUCUACUCCACUAGAAGAACGCUAAGCAAAGAAUUUGGAUCAGAUGUCAAUAGCGCAGGGGCAGGGGGCUACUCGAUGGGCCAAAAAAGCGGAGGUUCAGUUGCGGCCCAGAUGCACAGCAGCGGUGCGACGACUCAUAUAUGCACAAGGGUGUCGCGACGACUGAGAGAUGUACAGAAGUGGUGCAGCCGCUCCACAGUGAUGGUUUGUAGUGCAGUACGGUCAGCUAGCCAUCUGCCCCAUCCCGUCCAAUUAAUAUGCAGCAGCUAUACGUUAUACGGAUAUUACUAGCUGUAGUUGCAGCUAUUAAGUUUUUACUAGUAUAGUUGUUCACCAAGUAGGAAAAGUUAGAUGCAUGUACAUGUACGAAACUGACUAUGCAGUAUUCAAGUUUCCAGCAAUUUUUCGUUGAAAAAAUUAGUUACUGUUGAAAAAGUAGCUUCCAAUUUUGACAGUAAUCUUUUAAUGGAAACACUGAACCAUCCCGCUUGACAAAGUUUAUCUAUUAAUUAAAUAUGUUGGCAAUACCAAAGUGCAUCAGUUUCUCAGUUUUUUAGAUCAUCUUGAGAGAGUUCAAAUUCAGAGUAACAUUUGGUCUAGAGAUCUUUGUGUGAGUAAUGAUGUUAUGUUGACUUCUCCAUUCUAACCAUGGUAUUGGCUUAUGGAGAUCAUAGUUUCUCUAUGGAGAAAAUUUAGUGUCAGUAUACAUACAUUUGAAAUAUUGUUUUGUGGUCUUCUAAAUUACCAAUACAUAUGUUGUAUCUUCAGAUUACAGAAACUGGAUUGUUUCAGGUAGUGACGACGUUACGUUGUGACUGUGACGUCAAAGGACAACACAUGGUUCAGAUUCCUAAGAUAUUUUGUCGAUGCAUGGCUCAGUCAAUGAUUGUUAGGUCGAGAAUGGUGCUGCUAGAUAGUCUUAUCAUCUGAUUGCAAGGUCGAGAACGGUGUUGCUGCUGCAUAGUUUUAUCAUCUGAUUGCAAGGUCGAGUAUGGUGAUGCUGCUAGAUAGUCUUAUCAUCUGAUUGCAAGGUCGUGAAUGGUGUUGCUACUGGAUAGUCUUAUGUUAUGUUUUACGAUAUCAUUUCCAGUGUCAAUGUUUCAAAAACUGUAAUUUCGAAUAGUUGAGACAAUGAUUGAAAGGUCCAGAAUUGGGCUACUAAUUAGUAUCACAACUUGUAAUCUUUGGAUCAUGUUCUUUGUAAUGGAAUAGAGGAAA